GAUGAACGCUGGCGGCGUGCCUGAUACAUGCAAGUCGAGCGAACAGACGAGGAGCUUGCUCCUUUGACGUUAGCGGCGGACGGGUGAGUAACACGUGGAUAACCUACCUAUAAGACUGGGAUAACUUCGGGAAACCGGAGCUAAUACCGGAUAACAUGUUGAACCGCAUGGUUCAACAGUGAAAGACGGUCUUGCUGUCACUUAUAGAUGGAUCCGCGCCGCAUUAGCUAGUUGGUAAGGUAACGGCUUACCAAGGCAACGAUGCGUAGCCGACCUGAGAGGGUGAUCGGCCACACUGGAACUGAGACACGGUCCAGACUCCUACGGGAGGCAGCAGUAGGGAAUCUUCCGCAAUGGGCGAAAGCCUGACGGAGCAACGCCGCGUGAGUGAAGAAGGUCUUCGGAUCGUAAAACUCUGUUAUUAGGGAAGAACAAAUGUGUAAGUAACUAUGCACGUCUUGACGGUACCUAAUCAGAAAGCCACGGCUAACUACGUGCCAGCAGCCGCGGUAAUACGUAGGUGGCAAGCGUUAUCCGGAAUUAUUGGGCGUAAAGCGCGCGUAGGCGGUUUUUUAAGUCUGAUGUGAAAGCCCACGCCUCAACCGUGGAGGGUCAUUGGAAACUGGAAAACUUGAGUGCAGAAGAGGAAAGUGGAAUUCCAUGUGUAGCGGUGAAAUGCGCAGAGAUAUGGAGGAACACCAGUGGCGAAGGCGACUUUCUGGUCUGUAACUGACGCUGAUGUGCGAAAGCGUGGGGAUCAAACAGGAUUAGAUACCCUGGUAGUCCACGCCGUAAACGAUGAGUGCUAAGUGUUAGGGGGUUUCCGCCCCUUAGUGCUGCAGCUAACGCAUUAAGCACUCCGCCUGGGGAGUACGACCGCAAGGUUGAAACUCAAAGGAAUUGACGGGGACCCGCACAAGCGGUGGAGCAUGUGGUUUAAUUCGAAGCAACGCGAAGAACCUUACCAAAUCUUGACAUCCUCUGACCCCUCUAGAGAUAGAGUUUUCCCCUUCGGGGGACAGAGUGACAGGUGGUGCAUGGUUGUCGUCAGCUCGUGUCGUGAGAUGUUGGGUUAAGUCCCGCAACGAGCGCAACCCUUAAGCUUAGUUGCCAUCAUUAAGUUGGGCACUCUAAGUUGACUGCCGGUGACAAACCGGAGGAAGGUGGGGAUGACGUCAAAUCAUCAUGCCCCUUAUGAUUUGGGCUACACACGUGCUACAAUGGACAAUACAAAGGGUAGCGAAACCGCGAGGUCAAGCAAAUCCCAUAAAGUUGUUCUCAGUUCGGAUUGUAGUCUGCAACUCGACUACAUGAAGCUGGAAUCGCUAGUAAUCGUGGAUCAGCAUGCUACGGUGAAUACGUUCCCGGGUCU
rnacentral:rRNA from 1 species